rnacentral:misc_RNA from 1 species
AUUCAAUGCCAGAUAUACAUUAACCUGUUCCAAACAUCACUAAACAUAUAAUGUCUAUAUUCAAAUGAAAGGUUAAGGAAUUUCUGCUAAUAUUACUCCUCUGAACAAGAAUAUGCAAGUCUUAUAGUCAUAACCUGCACAUUUUCAAACUCAACAAUAAUCCAUUACGAGCUAACUAUUCCAAAAUAAGAUAUUUCACUUAUCAAUACAUACAAUGCAAUACCACUUGAAGUGCCAACAUCCUAAA